rnacentral:rRNA from 1 species
UACGUAGGGUGCGAGCGUUGUCCGGAAUUAUUGGGCGUAAAGAGCUCGUAGGCGGUGUGUCACGUCGGCCGUGAAAACCUGCAGCUUAACUGUGGGCGUGCGGUCGAUACGGGCAUCACUGGAGUUCGGCAGGGGAGACUGGAAGUUCCUGGUGUAGCGGUGAAAUGCGCAGAUAUCAGGAGGAACACCGGUGGCGAAGGCGGGUCUCUGGGCCGAUACUGACGCUGGAGGAGCGAAAGCCGUGGGGAGCGAACAG